rnacentral:rRNA from 1 species
CCUACGGGAGGCUGCAGUGGGGAAUAUUGCACAAUGGGCGCAAGCCUGAUGCAGCCAUGCCGCGUGUGUGAAGAAGGCCUUCGGGUUGUAAAGCACUUUCAGCGGGGAGGAAGGCGUUAAGGUUAAUAACCUUGUCGAUUGACGUUACCCGCAGAAGAAGCGCCGGCUAACUCCGUGCCAGCAGCCGCGGUAAUACGGAGGGUGCAAGCGUUAAUCGGAAUUACUGGGCGUAAAGCGCACGCAGGCGGUCUGUCAAGUCGGAUGUGAAAUCCCCGGGCUCAACCUGGGAACUGCAUUCGAAACUGGCAGGCUAGAGUCUUGUAGAGGGGGGUAGAAUUCCAGGUGUAGCGGUGAAAUGCGUAGAGAUCUGGAGGAAUACCGGUGGCGAAGGCGGCCCCCUGGACAAAGACUGACGCUCAGGUGCGAAAGCGUGGGGAGCAAACAGGAUUAGAUACCCGAGUAGUC